GCAGAAGUAAACCAUAUUCCGAGCCCUAAUGACAUCAUUGCUUCAGCCCCUGGAUCCAGCCAGGCCUGAAGCAGGGUAACCCUGGACUUCCCAGUGAGACUCCAGAUUCCGUUCUGGAUGGAAACCCAUCUUCAGGCUGGAAGCAGCCUCCACCCUGAGUGCUAUAGGGAUGGCUUGUUUUGACCUUUGCUUCUCUGUGGCCUGGACCCCCAUCGGGCCUUAUAGGGGCAGACGGAUUCUCCAUGAUUCCCCGUGCCUCCGCCAAAUGUCCCCCACGAAGUGCAGUGCAAUGGAGGAAAGGACUGUGAAGACCCCUCCAGGGGCCCAGCCCAUCCCGAUGGGAAAGGACAGGCAAGGAGCCGGUGCUGGAUGAAAAAGGCAAGUCAGUGAGAUCUGCCCUCAGAAGGUGGGGCAGGGCCAGGCUGCAGGUGGAAGGUCUUUGCUACAAGGUGAGAAAAAGGCUUGUUGGAGCCUUUGCUCCUUCACAGGAGUAAUUGCCUUUGAUGGCUGUUAAUAGGAAUCAUUGUGUGAU